GAUGAACGCUGGCGGCGUGCCUAAUACAUGCAAGUCGAGCGAACGGACGAGAAGCUUGCUUCUCUGAUGUUAGCGGCGGACGGGUGAGUAACACGUGGAUAACCUACCUAUAAGACUGGGAUAACUUCGGGAAACCGGAGCUAAUACCGGAUAAUAUUUUGAACCGCAUGGUUCAAAAGUGAAAGACGGUCUUGCUGUCACUUAUAGAUGGAUCCGCGCUGCAUUAGCUAGUUGGUAAGGUAACGGCUUACCAAGGCAACGAUGCAUAGCCGACCUGAGAGGGGGAGCGGCCACACGGGAACUGAGACCCGGUCCAGACUCCUAGGGGGGGCAGCAGUAGGGAAUCUUCCGAAAGGGGCGAAAGCCGGACGGGGCACCGCCGCGUGAGUGAGGAAGGUUUUCGGAUUGGAAACCUCUUUUUUUAGGGAAAAAAAUAUGUGUAAGUAACUGGCCACAUCUUGCCGGGACCUAAACAGAAGGCCACGGCUAACUACG
rnacentral:rRNA from 1 species